AUACGAAGGGGGCUAGCGUUGUUCGGAUUUACUGGGCGUAAAGCGCACGUAGGCGGAUUGAUUAGUUAGGGGUGAAAUCCCGAGGCUCAACCUCGGAACUGCCUUUAAUACUGUCAAUCUCGAGACCGGAAGAGGUGAGUGGAACUCCUAGUGUAGAGGUGGAAUUCGUAGAUAUUAGGAAGAACACCAGUGGCGAAGGCGGCUCACUGGUCCGGUACUGACGCUGAGGUGCGAAAGCGUGGGGAGCGAACAGGAUUAGAAACCCCAGUAGUCC
rnacentral:rRNA from 1 species